ACGGAGGGGGACUAGCGUUGUUCGGAAUUACUGGGGCGUAAAAGCGCGCGUAGGCGGGGCUGGUCAGUUGGGGGGGUGAAAAUCCCCGAGGCUUAACCUCGGAACUGCCUUCAAUACUGCCAGUCUUGAGUUCGGAAGAGGUGAGUGGAAUUCCUAGUGUAGAGGUGAAAAUUCAUAGAUAUUAGGAAGAACACCAGUGGCGAAGGCGGCUCACUGGUCCGAUACUGACGCUGAGGUGCGAAAGCGUGGGGAGCGAACAGGAUUAGAUACCCGGGUAGUCC
rnacentral:rRNA from 1 species